rnacentral:sRNA from 1 species
UAUAAGCCUGUGUAGAUGAUAACUUAGA